rnacentral:rRNA from 1 species
GACGAACGCUGGCGGCGUGCCUAAUACAUGCAAGUCGAACGAGGUCCAAGGGAGCUUGCUCCCUGACGACCUAGUGGUGAACGGGUGAGUAACACGUGAGAAACCUGCCCUGGAGUGGGGAGUAACUCGGGGAAACUCGAGCUAAUACCGCAUACCUUCACAUGAUCGCAUGGUCGAGUGAAGAAAGAUUCAUCGCUCUAGGAGGGUCUCGCGGCCUAUCAGCUUGUUGGUGGGGUAACGGCCUACCAAGGCAACGACGGGUAGCUGGUUUGAGAGAACGAUCAGCCACACUGGGACUGAGACACGGCCCAGACUCCUACGGGAGGCAGCAGUAGGGAAUCUUGCGCAAUGGGCGAAAGCCUGACGCAGCAACGCCGCGUGCGGGAUGACGGCCUUCGUGGUUGUAAACCGCUUUCUGCAGGGACGAAAUUGACGGUACCUGCAGAAGAAGCCCCGGCUAACUACGUGCCAGCCGCCGCCGUAAAAC